UGCCUACUCGGACAUCCAAUGUUGUAGUGUUUCCCAUGCAUGCACAGAAUGAUCACUGCAGCCCCAGCCACUCAACAAGGACAGUAGAGAGUAGUGACAGCCACAAGACAGGUGGCCUGCUCGGCAGCCUCCGGCUCCCUCUUUGGUUGGCACUGGAAGAGGAAUAAGAUUGAAACCACCUCUGUGAUUCUUCAAGGCAAGCUGGAGAAGAGCGCUCAAGAGGAGAUUCUCUUGGCAAGGAGAUCAGCUGAGCACCCGAGUGACUAAUUAGAGAGGCACAGGCAGAAGGGAGGUGGGGUUUAUACAGAGGCUCCUUGGGACCCUCCGGAUGGAAACCUGGAGGCCACAAUGUAAUUUGUCUUGCAGGAGUCUUGCAGAUUCAGGCAGUUGGGCCUCUCUCGUUCUUCAUAGGAGCACACAGGGACGAUGGUCUGUCGCCGCCUCUCAGU